AGAGCGAACGCUGGCGGCAGGCCUAAUACAUGCAAGUCGAACGGAUCCUUCGGGAUUAGUGGCGGACGGGUGAGUAACACGUGACCAACCAACCUCGAAGUUGGGAAUAGCUCUGCGAAAGUAGGGGUAAUACCGAAUGUGGCCCAGGGCGGGCAUCCGCCUUGGUCUAAAGAUUCAUCGCUUCGAGACGGGGUCGCGGCCUAUUAGCUUGUUGGUGAGGUAACGGCUCACCAAGGCGAUGAUGGGUAGCUGGUCUGAGAGGACGACCAGCCACACUGGGACUGAGACACGGCCCAGACUCCUACGGGAGGCAGCAGUGAGGAAUCUUCCGCAAUGGGCGAAAGCCUGACGGAGCAACGCCGCGUGUGGGAUGAAGACUCUAGGGUUGUAAACCACUGUCGGAGGGGACGAUCGUGACGGUACCCUCAAGAAGCCCCGGCUAACUACGCGCCAGCAGCCGC
rnacentral:rRNA from 1 species